rnacentral:rRNA from 1 species
GACGAACGCUGGCGGCGUGCUUAACACAUGCAAGUGGAGCGACGAACCGGGGCUUGCCCCGGGCAGAGCCGCGAACGGGUGAGUAACACGUGGGUAACCCACCCGAUGACCGGGACAACCCGAGGAAACUCGGGCUAAUACCGGAUGUGCUCCUUGACCUCGAGGUCAAGGCGUAAAGAUAGCUUCGGCCUUCGCAUCGGGACGGCCCGCGGCCCAUUAGCUUGGUUGGUGGGGUAAAGGCCUACCAAGGCGACGAUGGGUAGCUGGUCUGAGAGGACGAGUCAGCCACACUGGG